UGGUGCCGAAAUGGUUAAUCUGCAAGAAAAUGGUGAAAACCGACCUCGACAACCCUGGGUUGAUGAACCAGACUGGAACACCUACUAGAUAGUUAUCCAGACAAACGCAUAUUGGAGAGCAAGGAGACAGAUACGAACAGGGUUCAAGAGUGAUGCCCUCUACAGUCGAAUUGCGUAGUCAAGUUAGAGUUACGGCUCGUACAUAGAAGACACCUCAAAAGCCGCAUCACGGCGCGCAACGAAAACACAGGCACAUACAAAAUGAGUACACAGAAGAGAACGUGCGAGUGAGUUUGUGUUUCGGUUCUUAAGAGGUGAAGGCAGCAGAAGAAAAGGAAACCGGGUGGGAAGGGAAGAAAAAGCACAGAAACCGCCAGUACAGAUUCCAACAUCAGCAGUUAUUUGUUCCUACGUUAAUUCUUCGAAACCUGCCUCCCGAAAGACUCGUCUUUGUGGUAAUCGCCCUACCUCUCGACCAGGAGGCUCAGGUUCCAAGAUCCAUCUGCUCUAGAGGUGUGCAACGGCGUUGAUUUAGAAAACAUCUAUCAUACUUUUCUCCACGACCCACCUUCCACGUAUAUCUGCGCAAUUUACUUUUUGGAGUUUAAUUUAGGAAAUGUGGCAGCAAUCAACCACAGACAUUAAUGUGUUUAUGAACAGAAACUAUAAUGUACAAUUGAUACUACACUGGAACAUUGUUUACUGGAAGGAAGAUGAAAGAUGUGCCUCAAGAUUUCUGUUGUAAAACAUCUGCAAUAAAGGUAUUCAAUGAGA